rnacentral:lncRNA from 1 species
CUCACAUUUCCUUCAAAUCAAUGCAGAUAAUACAUUCAAGGAAUUUGACAUAGUUCUUGCAUAAAUUAUUCCGUCCGCAAGCAUUAGCUAUGCAUAGUCAAAAAGGUGGAGAUGGAAAAGUAAAGAUUCGAUUUGUCAAAGCAUAAAGCAUAUUUGGAAAUGGCAACAAAAGAGAAACUCGUUGAAUUGAUGAGAAGGCGCCAGAAGUCUGCAGAAGUAUGUCAAGGAAAUGCAGAAAUAGAUUCACGCAAAAUUGAGUAUUCAUUAUAAACACCGAUGCACGAGUAAGCAUUUCUAUAUAUUUAUAUAAUUUAUUUUAUUCACUCUGCUAGAGCCGCUGCCGAAGCCAGACGUUCCUUGACCCUUUCUGCCUUAGCCCAUCCCGCCCUGAGUGAUGCACACACACACAGGCAUAAAUUGGUUCAAUAUUGGCAACAAAUUAAAUUUAAUGAUGUUUGUUGCUUGUGGCCAAAUAACUCACAGAGCAGCCAAGUAGCAGCGGCGGGGAAUCAGCAGCAAAAAGGCGAAACAGAGAAAUUGCCAACUCUGGCAAAUAUUUGCAGACUGACGCUAAUGAACUUGAGCAUACAAAUAGGCCACGAGCAGUGGCCAAGUCUGGAGAUUGGUGCAGAAUAAUUUUCCCAGAAGAUUCGCUCACGGUUCGCUUUUGUCGCUGCCUUUUGAUUAAAGCGCUUUCCCACUUUCAGCAUCC